rnacentral:lncRNA from 1 species
AGAUAGAAAGGAACCUAAGAUACAGGAAAAAUCUUUCUGAGAGGAAACAAUUUUGGCACUCCCAGAAUGCAUACUAUUCACACAAAGACAAGAAUCUGAAGUAUGAAGACAAUCCUGUAAGAAAGCCUGAAAGUUCCAACAACCGAAAGCCAAGGUUCGGUUCGCAAGAAAAUACCAACCGAAAGCCAAGGUUCGGUUCGCAUGAAAAUACCAACCGAAAGCAAAGGUUCGGUUCUGAAAAGGAUUUCAACCGAAACCAAAGGUUCGGUUCCAAGAACAACUCCAACCGAACUCAGAGGUUCGGUUCUGAAGUUAAAGGAGAACAAGACUCUAAGGCCAGUCCCUCCU